UACGUAGGGGGCGAGCGUUGUCCGGAUUUAUUGGGCGUAAAGAGCUCGUAGGCGGUUUGGUAAGUCGGGUGUGAAAUCUCCACGCUCAACGUGGAGGGGCCACUCGAUACUGCCAUGACUCGAGUCCGGUAGAGGAGUGUGGAAUUCCCGGUGUAGCGGUGAAAUGCGUAGAUAUCUGGAGGAACACCGGUGGCGAAGGCGGCAUCCUGGACCGGCAUUGACGCUGAGGCGCGAAAGCCAGGGGAGCAAAGCGGG
rnacentral:rRNA from 1 species